rnacentral:lncRNA from 1 species
AACAAAUUCGAAGGAACUAUUCCAGAUGUGUUUGUCAAUGCUACCAAGUUAGUAUCAUUGGACGUUAGUCACAACAAUCUAGAAGGGAAGUUUCCAAAGUCAUUGAUCAAUUGCAAAUAUUUGCGAUUUGUGAACGUGGAAGGCAACCUAAUCAAGGACAGGUUUCCAUCGUGGUUGGGAUCUCUACCAUCAUUACAAGUUCUCAUCCUCAGAUCAAACGAGUUCUACGGGCCGUUGUAUCAUGACCACAUGUAUAUUGGGUUUCAGAGUUUGAGAGUCAUUGAUAUAUCAGACAAUGACUUCACUGGAACUCUUCCACAUUAUUAUUUUUUGAACUGGCGUGCAAUGACCACGUCAACUGAAGAAAGUGAGGAGGAGUACAUGGAAAAUUUUGGCUAUUAUUCUCGUAUGUAUCAAUCUAUGGAAAUGGUGAAUAAAGGAGUAGAGACAACCUUUGAGCGGAUUCGAAAAGACUUCAUAUCCAUUGAUUUUUCUGGAAACAGAAUUUAUGGCAAAAUACCUGAAUCUAUUUCCUUUAUGAAGGGAUUGCGUCUUCUCAACUUGUCGGGAAAUGCAUUCACAGGUGGUAUCCCGCAAGCCCUGGCAAAUCUGACAAAUCUCGAGACAUUGGACCUCUCCAGUAAUAAGCUGUCAGGUCAAAUCCCUCAAGAUCUUGGCAACCUCUCAUUUCUAUCAUACAUGAACUUCUCCCAUAACUUUCUCCAAGGUCCAGUUCCACGAAGCACACAAUUUCAAAGACAGAAGUGUUCUUCAUUCUUGGAUAACCCUGGACUCUACGGUUUCGAAGAAAUCUGUCAAGAAAGCCAUUUCCCCAGUAGUCCUACAUCACAUCAAUCCGAGGAAUUGUCAGAGGCAGAGGAAAAAAUGUUCAGCUGGAUUGCAGCUGCAAUAGCCUUUGGACCUGGUUUAUUCUGUGGAUUGGUUAUGGGACAUAUCUUCACUUCACACAAUCAAGAAUGGUUUACAGAAAAGUUUGGUCCAAGAAAAAUCAGAGUCGUCACAAGUGCUCGUUAAGUCCAUCUCUUGUAGUCUCUCUAAUAAGCAUUUCUAAGACUCAUGUAGUCCAACAUCUUCGUCGUAUUUGUACUAAAUUCUUUAGGUGUGUGUCCUCCAAAAGACUUAUUCAGUUGUUUGUAAUUUUCUCUGUAAUAGUUUUGUAAUAAACAUGUUGGUGGUAUUUAAUGUAUCUUGGCUUGAAAAUGUACACAUGAAUUUCCUCCUACUCAAAUCUUCAACUUGUCGCUGUCCAGUGAAAAAAUCUUAGAAUCUCUUAAAUAUAGAACUUAUCAACUUUUAGGAUCACAGGUUAGUUACUCGUACAAUUUUAUUUCUAAAAGACAGACGGUGAGAUUCCGACAUUAGAAAUACAAGUCAACUUGAAUUUUCUGUAACAUUCAUACUCUGACCUCUGCAACAAGUACAUUCCAAUCAAUUUGUUUUUUCAUAGGAAUUGUGUUUACAUAGCCCAUAAAACUUCUUUUUCUUAAAUACAGAACUUACUCUGCCCUACUGUGUUUCACUGGAUUUCUCUUUUUUUUUUCAGACUUUACCCUACACUAAGAAGGUUGCUUACCAGAAAAUCAAAAGGCAGAUAGUCUAGCACGAUGUGUCAGAAAACAAUCGUCUUUCGUCGUUCACAUGGAUUGCGGAGUUACCAGUUUGGUUCGCAGAAUCUAUAUGAGUCUGUUUGUCGAUGACAAAAAAAAAAUAAUAAUAAUUUAUACCAUUUUAUAUAUUCUUUUUAUUCGUCACGGGCUACACCCUUAAAAAGUCAAACUCAAACCGACAAGUUGACGCAAGACUUGCCAAGUGACAGACCCACUAGAGACUAGAGUUUCUCAUGCAAUCCUUCUUCUUACAAAGAACCAAAAACUUUGAUUAAAAAAACGAAGAAAAAAAAGAUGAAGACUUGGCCAAUCAAUGUCGACUUGACGCAAGACUAACCAAGUCACUAGGUUAUAACUUCCUUCUUAAAGAGAAUUAGAGAACCAGUGAAGCAUACAACAGCAUAACUCAUUACUUUUACAACACAAACUAAAAAAGAGAGAUGAUGAUUCGAAACCACUGUUAUUGCUUUCCUAGCAUUAUUACCAUCUUUGUCUCUAUUUUAAUCCACAGUCUUGCCUCUCCUACGCUCCACUUUUGCCGCCACGACCAGAGGGAUGCUCUUUUGGAAUUCAUUCACGAGUUUCCUACUGAUAAGUCUUUUCCAAGUUCUUGGAACAAAAGCAGCGAUUGUUGUUUUUGGGAGGGAGUCGAGUGCCAUAAUAAAUCUGGCCAGGUUAUAUCACUCGACCUUUCUUAUAAAUAUCUUAACGGCUCUAUAAAACCAAACAGUAGCCUCUUCAAACUCCAAUAUCUUCGUGAUUUAAGCCUUAAUUAUUGCAAUCUCCAAGGAAAGAUUCCUUCUUCACUAGGAAAUCUUUCUCGUCUGGAGACUCUUGGACUCAGUAUCAAUCACCUGGUAGGCGAAGUUCCAGCUUCCAUCGGACACCUAACCGAACUGAGAAUCGUGUCCCUUGGGAAAAACAGCUUAAGUGGCAGGUUUUCUAGUUUAUUCGCCAAUUUAACGAAGCUUACCCAUAUUUUCCUCCACUCUAAUAACUUCACAUCCACGCUUCCAUCCGACAUGAGUGGACUGUACCGUUUGGAGUGGUUCGAUAUCAGUGAAAACUCAUUUUCCGGGCCUUUCCCUAAAUCCUUGUUCACCAUUUCCUCCUUACUUAUAGUUUAUUUAGGAAGAAACCAAUUCACGGGACCUAUAGAUUUCGAGAACACAUCUUCCCCAUUGGUCAACCUAGGUGAUCUUGUCCUUGCUAGUAACAAAUUCGACGGCCCAAUCCCAGAAUCCAUAACUAAAUUUCUCAACCUUGAAAACCUAGAUCUUUCCCAAAACAGUUUCAGUGGACCAAUCCCUAGAUUUAUAUCAAAUUUAACCAAACUCGGUCAUCUUAAUUUUGCGAAAAACAAGUUGGAAGGUGAAGUACCAGCUUGCUUGUGGAAUCGGCGGCCGUCGACAGUGGUGCUUUCUCACAACUAUUUCAGCAGUUUUGAAAACGUUUCACAAGAAACAGAAACUGAUCAUAUGGAUCGGUUGGAUCUGAAUUCGAAUUCAUUCCGAGGACCAUUUCCCCACUGGCUCUGCAAGUUUUCCCGGUUAGAGUAUUUAGAUUUGUCCAACAACCUCUUCAGCGGCUCCAUCCCUCCAUGUUUAAAAAACUUCACUGCUACUCUUAUAGAGUUAACUCUUGGGAACAACAACUUCAGUGGAACUCUUCCAGAUAUAUUUGCUGGUGCUACCAGGUUAGAAUCACUCGACGUUAGUGCCAACCUUCUAGAAGGAAACUUCCCAAAGUCCUUGAUCCACUGCAAAGCUCUUCAACAUGUGAAUGUGGGAAGCAACAGAUUCAAGGACAAAUUUCCACAUUGGCUGGGAUCUUUGCCGUCAUUACAUGUUCUCAGCCUCCGAUUCAACAAGUUCUUCGGGCCGUUGUAUCGUCAUCAUCAUCGCCAUAUGUCCUCUGGGUUUAAGAGUUUAAGAGUCGUCGAUAUUUCACAUAAUAACUUCACUGGAGCUCUCCCACCCGGCUAUUUUUCCAGCUGGCAUGGAAUGACGAAAAUGAGGGAAGAAGAUGACGUCCCGUACAUGGAACCAACUUCUAUUAUUUAUCCUUCUUUUCCUCAUAAUUAUGAGUCUGUGGAAAUGGUGAUCAAAGGAGUAGAGAUGAGCUUUGAGCGGAUCCGACAAGACUUCCGAGCCAUUGAUUUUUCUGAAAACAGAAUCCACGGCAAAAUCCCCGAAUCUUUGUGCUCUUUGAAGGAACUGCGUAUUCUCAACUUGUCAGGUAACGCCUUCACAGGCGUGAUCCCACGAUCCUUGGCAAAGCUAACAAAGCUCGAGACGUUAGACCUGUCAUGUAAUAAGUUAUCAGGUGAAAUCCCUCAAGAUCUUGGUAAACUCUCCUUUCUAUCGUACAUGAACUUCUCCCAUAACCAUCUCCAAGGUUCAGUGCCACGAGGCACACAGUUUCAAAGCCAGAACUGUUCUUCAUUCAUGGACAACCCUGAACUCUUGGGUCUCGAAGAUAUCUGCAGAAAACCCAAUGUGCUGGGUCCUACGUCACAUCAACCAGAGGAAGUGUCGGAGUCGGAAGAACCGAUGUUCAACUGGGUAGCAGCUGCUAUAGCCUACGGACCAGGUGUGUUCUGCGGAUUUGUGAUCGGAUAUUAUAUCUUUACUUCAGGCUAUCAUGAGUGGUUCGCAGAAAGGUUUGGUCGAAGAAAAAUCAGAGUCACCAGAAGGGAUCAUUAAUCUCAUCUCUUGCAGUCGCUCUAUGAAUCUGUGAAGCAAAGGUGUUUUAUCCAAAAAGACUUGUUUGUUUUAUUAAUCUCUGAAGCAAUGUUCUGUUUAAUGUUUUUGUAAUAGGUCUUUUAGUUGUAUUUGAAUAUAUACUUUCAUUUGCAGUUCUCACAAGAGUGUCACAGGUCUACAGAUCUUCUGAUAUACAUUAAAUUUUAGGGUCACAGGUCCAAUAUGUAAAUGAGAUCUUAGCCACAACAAUUUCACUGGAUCAAUCCCUAGAUCUAUAUCAAAGUUAGUCAACCUCACGGAUUUACAGCUUUCAAACAACAACUUGAAAGGUGAAGUACCAGGUUCGUUUGGGGAUUGAGUAACUUGACUCUUUCUCACAAUUCUUUCGAAACUUUUGGGAACUCUUCAAAAUAAACAAUGAUUAUGAGUUUGGAUCUGAGUUCGAAUUCAUUCCAAGGACCAUUUCCCCAUCGGCUCGAUUCCUCGAUGUUUUUGAGAAAUUUUGUUGUUUUUAUUGAAGUCUUGGUGUUGAAGUAACAACAGUUUCAGCGGAGUUAUUCCAGAUAUGUAUUUGCAAAUGCUUCCAAGUUACUAUCGUUAGACUUUAGUCACAACCAGCUGGAGGAACUCUCCCACCUCACUAUUUUUCCAAAUGGAAUGAAACAAACAAGUCAUCAGGAGGAUAUGGAUACAUGAAAAAUGCCUUGAAUGAUUCUACGAUCUAUCGUAAUUCAAUGGAAAUGGUGAAUAAAGGAGUAGAGACCAGGUUUGAGGGAAUCCGAGAAGACUUUAGAGCCAUCGAUUUCUCUGGAAACAGAUUUUAUGGCAAAAUCCCUGAAUUUAUUGGCUUCUUGAAGGAAUUGCAUCUUCUCAACUUGUCAAACAACGCAUUCACAAGUGACAUCCCACAAUCUUUGGAAAAUCUGACUAAUCUCGAGACGUUGGACCUCUCGAGUAAUAAGCUUUCAGGUCAAAUCCCUCAAGAUCUUGGUAAGCUCUCGUUUCUGUCAUACAUGAACUUCUCCCACAACCUUCUCCAAGGACCAGUGCCACGGGGCACGCAAUUCCAAAGGCAAAAAUGUUCUUCAUUCUCGGACAACCCUGGACUCUACGGUCUCGAAGAAAUCUGUGGAGAACCCCAUUAUCCGAAUCCUACAUCACAAGCAAACGAGGAAUUGUCAGAGUCGGAAGAACCAGUGUUCAACUGGAUAGCUGCUGCAAUAGCCUACGGACCUGGCGUAUUCUUUGGUUUGGUGAUCGGUUACAUAUUCACUUCACAUAAUCAUGAGUGGUUUCACUGAAACGUUUGGUCGAAGAAAACUCUGAGUCACAGUUACUGCUUGUUUGAUUCUCAUCUCUUGUACUCUCUCUAGUAAGCAUUUGUGAAGCUUAUGUUGUCCAAAGUCUUGUUUGUAUUUGUACUGAAUUUGCCAUAUGUUCUUCAAAAGACUUUUGUGUUUUUCUUUGUUUGUUUGUUGUUGUAGUUUCCUAUUUAAUUUUGUUGUAAUAAAUGAAUUUGGUGGUAUUCAAUCAACAUUUUGAUUUGAAAUUGUUAUACGGGAACUUCUUCCUAAUCAAAUCUUAAACUUGCGCUUGAAAAGUCUUCCUUCUCUUGUAUACAAUUAACUAUCCACGCGUAUUACAACCUGUUUCUUUUCACACUUCCUCAACACCCUUGCUUCUCCGUCCCACACGUCAAUCAUAUGGACCUGCGUAUUCUGUGGAUUGGUUCUGAGACAUUUCUUCAAAAAUUAUCAAAUCUAAGUCUAAGCCUAAACCUAUUUUUAUCUAAAAACCUAAGCCAAUUAUGUAAUUUAAACCUCUCCCUUAUAAUAUUACUCACGCUUUUCCAUUCUUUCUAAUAUUCUCAUUUUCAUAUAUUAUGUAAAAUACUCAGAAAAUAAAGUGUAAACAUAUGUCAAAAAAGAAGUAUAAAUAUAUAGUCAGUGCAUAAUUUUGGUAUGGCUAAUUAUCUGACCGAUGUAAUGGUUGUAUUUCAAAAUCACAUGGUUACAAAUUAAACUAUAAGCAAGAUUUUGGUGAACAUUGAUGGUCCAUAGGGUCUAUGUGACUAUGUGGAAAGUGGCACAAUUUAUUCGGUUGUAUUUGGUUUAGUAGCCUUCUAAGAGUUUCCAAAGUUUGCAUGAUGUCUAGACUGUAGUUAAAGUAUACUUAGAAGGGAUUCAUUGCUCAUAACUCCUCGAAACAUGUGUUUUGGGUUUAACAAAACAUAUACAUGAAUCUUUAGAAUGGGUUUUUGAGGACUUGAUGAAAUCUUUAAUGAAUGCAUGAAUCUUUUUUUUUUUUUUUUUGAAUUUAGAAAAAGAAAGAAAAAAGAUGUACAGAACUUAAAGUGAUAUUUGGGUUUAUGUGGAUGUGGAGAAAGAGACAAGAACAUUUUCCAUUGACGAAGACUUGGCCAAUCAACGACGAGUUGACGCAAGACUAACCAAGUCAGUACGUUAUAACUUCCUUCUAUAAGAGAAUUAGAGAAGCAGUGAAGCAUACAACAGCAUAACUCAUUACGUUUACAACACAAACUCAAAAAGAGAAAUGAUGAUUCGAAACCAUCUUUGUAUUAUUACCAUCUAUUUCUCAUUCCUAAUCCACAGUACUCUUGCUUCUCCUAGGCUCCACUUUUGCCGCCACGACCAGAGGGAUGCUCUUUUGGAAUUCAGAAACGAGUUUCCUACUGCCGAGUCUUUUCCAAGUUCGUGGAACAAAAGCAGUGAUUGUUGUUUUUGGGAGGGAGUCAAGUGCGAUGAUCAAUCUGGCCAGGUUAUAUCACUCGACCUUUCUGGUAAAUCUCUUAAAGGCUCUCUGAAAACCAACAGUAGCCUUUUCAAACUCCAAUAUCUUCGUGAUUUAAGCCUUCGUGUUUGCAAUCUCCAAGGAGAGAUUCCUUCGUCACUAGGAAACCUUUCUCGUCUCACUCAAGUUGACCUUUCUUUUAAUCAAUUGGUAGGUGAGAUUCCGAUUUCAAUCGGUAAUCUAAACCAACUAAGAUAUCUUAAGCUUAAGUAUAAUCGUCUCAGAGGAGAGAUUCCUUCUUCACUAGGAAACCUUUCUCAUCUCACUCUAGUUGAGCUUCCUGAUAAUCAAUUGGUAGGUGAGAUUCCGAUUUCAAUCGGAAACCUCAAGGAACUAAGAAUCAUUUGGCUUGCCGAUAACAAGUUAUGUGGUAAUAUUCCGAUUUCAGUCACUAAUUUAACGAAGCUUUCCUAUUUUGUCAUCCGCUUGAAUAACUUCACUUCCAUGUUUCUUUAAGAGAGCUAUUUCUGGAGAACAACAAAUUCGAAGGAACUAUUCCAGAUGUGUUUGUCAAUGCUACCAAGUUAGUAUCAUUGGACGUUAGUCACAACAAUCUAGAAGGGAAGUUUCCAAAGUCAUUGAUCAAUUGCAAAUAUUUGCGAUUUGUGAACGUGGAAGGCAACCUAAUCAAGGACAGGUUUCCAUCGUGGUUGGGAUCUCUACCAUCAUUACAAGUUCUCAUCCUCAGAUCAAACGAGUUCUACGGGCCGUUGUAUCAUGACCACAUGUAU